UCCGCCACGUCAUCUGUGUAC
rnacentral:miRNA from 1 species